GACGAACGCUGGCGGCGUGCUUAACACAUGCAAGUCGAACGGAAAGGCCCUGCUUUUGUGGGGUGCUCGAGUGGCGAACGGGUGAGUAACACGUGAGUAACCUGCCCUUGACUUUGGGAUAACUUCAGGAAACUGGGGAUAAUACCGGAUAGGAGCUCCUGCUGCAUGGUGGGGGUUGGAAAGUUUCGGCGGUUGGGGAUGGACUCGCGGCUUAUCAGCUUGUUGGUGGGGUAGUGGCUUACCAAGGCUAUGACGGCUAGCCGGCCUGAGAGGGUGACCGGCCACACGGGAACUGGGACGCGGCCCGGACUCCUACGGGAGGCAGCAGAAGGGACUCGUCCGCAAGGGGCGAAAGCCUGACGGAGCACCGCCGCGUGGGUGACGAAGGUCGUCGGAUCGUAAAAGUCUGUGACGAGGGGGGAAAAAAUGUCUAAGUAACUAUGCACGUCUUGACGGUACCUAAUCAGAAAGCAACGGCUAACUACGUG
rnacentral:rRNA from 1 species